rnacentral:rRNA from 1 species
UACAGAGGUCUCAAGCGUUGUUCGGAUUCAUUGGGCGUAAAGAGCUUGUAGGCGGUUUGUCGCGUCUGCUGUGAAAUUUCGGGGCUCAACCCCGAACUUGCAGUGGGUACGGGCAGACUAGAGUGUGGUAGGGGAGACUGGAAUUCCUGGUGUAGCGGUGAAAUGCGCAGAUAUCAGGAGGAACACCGAUGGCGAAGGCAGGUCUCUGGGCCAUAACUGACGCUGAGAAGCGAAAGCAUGGGGAGCAAACAGG